GAUGAACGCUGGCGGCGUGCCUAAUACAUGCAAGUCGAGCGAACAGAUGAGGAGCUUGCUCCUCUGACGUUAGCGGCGGACGGGUGAGUAACACGUGGAUAACCUACCUAUAAAACGGGGAUAACUUGGGGAAACCGGAGCUAAUCCCGGAUAAUAUAUUGAACCGCAUGGUUAAUUAGUGAAAAACGGUUUUGCUGUAACUUAUAGAUGGAUCCGCGCCGCAUUAGCUAGUUGGUAAGGUAACGGCUUACCAAGGCAACGAUGCGUAGCCGACCUGAGAGGGUGAUCGGCCACACUGGAACUGAGACACGGUCCAGACUCCUACGGGAGGCAGCAGUAGGGAAUCUUCCGCAAUGGGCGAAAGCCUGACGGAGCAACGCCGCGUGAGUGAUGAAGGUCUUCGGAUCGUAAAACUCUGUUAUUAGGGAAGAACAAAUGUGUAAGUAACUAUGCACGUCUUGACGGUACCUAAUCAGAAAGCCACGGCUAACUACGUG
rnacentral:rRNA from 1 species